CCUACGGGAGGCAGCAGUGGGGAAUAUUGCACAAUGGGGGAAACCCUGAUGCAGCGACGCCGCGUGAGUGAAGAAGUAAUUCGUUAUGUAAAGCUCUAUCAGCAGGGAAGAAAAUGACGGUACCUGAGUAAGAAGCCCCGGCUAACUACGUGCCAGCAGCCGCGGUCAUACGUAGGGGGCAAGCGUUAUCCGGAUUUACUGGGGGUAAAGGGAGCGUAGACGGCAGUGCAAGUCUGGAGUGAAAGGCGGGGGCUCAACCACCGGACUGCUCUGGAAACUGUACGGCUGGAGUGCAGGAGAGGUAAGUGGAAUUCCUAGUGUAGCGGUGAAAUGCGUAGAUAUUAGGAGGAACACCAGUGGCGAAGGCGGCUUACUGGACUGUAACUGACGUUGAGGCUCGAAAGCGUGGGGAGCAAACAGGAUUAGAUACCCUUGUAGUC
rnacentral:rRNA from 1 species